rnacentral:rRNA from 1 species
GACGAACGCUGGCGGCGCGCCUAACACAUGCAAGUCGAACGGAGCUGAGAGAAGCUUGCUUUUCUUAGCUUAGUGGCGAACGGGUGAGUAACGCGUGAGUAACCUGCCCUGGAGUGGGGGACAACAGUUGGAAACGACUGCUAAUACCGCAUAAGCCCACGAUCCGGCAUCGGAUUGAGGGAAAAGGAUUUAUUCGCUUCAGGAUGGACUCGCGUCCAAUUAGCUAGUUGGUGAGGUAACGGCCCACCAAGGCGACGAUUGGUAGCCGGACUGAGAGGUUGAACAGCCACAUUGGGACUGAGACACGGCCCAGACUCCUACGGGAGGCAGCAGUGGGGGAUAUUGCACAAUGGGGGAAACCCUGAUGCAGCGACGCCGCGUGGAGGAAGAAGGUUUUCGGAUUGUAAACUCCUGUCGUUAGGGACGAUAAUGACGGUACCUAACAAGAAAGCACCGGCUAACUACGUG